GGCGACUCUUGUUCCGGUCGCGUCGGCGCCGGUACGUUGUUUCGGCCUUCCCGCUUCUUUCCUUCUCUAGAUGUCCCUCCUCACGACCAGGGAGGAUGGAUCUCGUACUGCUUCCUGAAACCCGCCGAGCUCGGAGAGGAGUGUAGAGCUGGCGGCUCUACCGGAGUAGGAAGGCCUCUAAGGCCGUGGGGCUUGAGACGGCAGUCCAUCCUUGACUACGCCGCCCCGCACGUCUUUUAGUAGGGUUAUUUUUAUUUCGACCCCUUUCGGCGCGUAAGACUUGGCGUGUAGAGCCCCAAGGACGCUCUGCCGACCAACACCAAGGAGUGCCGCCAGGCCCGGGGCCCCCACAAUGCACUUGAAGCGGGUUGCAGCUCCCAGGCACUGGAUGCGGGACAAACUGACGGAUGUGUUUUCUGUUUUUGCAUUUGGUCCCUUCUUUCUCAGAGUCCCAACCUCAGAGGCAGGACAUCGGAGGAGUGGGAGCACAGAGGGAGUAAAGGAGUCAAGCCAUUGUGUGGGCAGCCUCGCCUAAACAAGUGCCAGAGUUGUUUGUUUAUUGGGUUUCCUGGUGUACAUGGUAGGUUUGUGUGUGUUCUCCUCAGCCUCCUAAGUGCGUUAACCUGGGUACGGUAUGGAAUGCCCAGGGUACAAGAACAUAAGAAGUGGGUAGAGCACUUCCUUUUUUUCAGCAUUAAUGAGGACUGGGCCAGGGGUUGUUGGUUUGUUGAUUUCAUUGAAAUAUUGGUGACUCCCAACAUAAUAAAAGGUUCUCCUUUUCAGCCUGCUCCUGCUGCCUAGGCAAACAGCAUCUUUGCAUUAGUAAUCUCCAUUCUGCUUGUUUGCGAUCAGAUGUCAUCAGUGUUGAAGAAGACAGGUGAGCAUGUCUGCCUGUUCGGUGACUCCAAGGGCCAUUUUUGUUCGUCACCACAUCGUAGCACAAGAGGCAAAGGUAAGUCAUGUGAGUCGAGUGGGAUGGACCUCCUGGUUUCCUGAGGCACCAGCCUUCUUCCUACUGCGGUUGUUUAGGCCAGAUCCCAGGCAUGUCUGCUACCUCUGGUUGUUGGUUAGGUUGUUUAGUCCAAGUGUACAGGUCCAUUAAAACUGACAUAAGAAGAUAUCUGAUGAGUUUUCCAUAGGAGGCUGUUUCUGGACAGACUGCUCGUCCUGUAGCCCUCUGCAGGACAGCAUGCUUCAGAAUAGGAGAAGGUUACAGUCCUGGAACGAGGUGGACGUGAGUUAACUCCUGACUCCCAUCAUUCAUGAAUUUUGUGACCUCAGUCAAAACUGUGGAACCUUCCCUGAGGCUCCAUUUUCUCGAUAGGUGGUGAUAGUAUGCUUUCUUGCUGGGCUCAUAACAAGGUUUCAGUGAGCGUGUACUGCCUGGCACUUAACUGUGCUACCUGGCACUGAAGGGAGAUAGAUGGUCCCUGACUUGCCACCUCCUCCUUCCCUCUCCAAACUUAAUAUCCAAGGUCAAGGAAACUGCCAAGGCAGGUUUCUUUCUGUGUGGACAGGUUUCCUCUGUUGGGAACGCCUCUGUGUGAACCAGUGGAGUGACCCCUGAGUCACUUCUGUUCUCCCUGGAUUUAAGGUCUUGACCUGUCCCUAGUCUUUUACACAUGUAACCUUUGUUACAUGCCUUGACAACGGACCAAAUGCCACCUAAAGUGCUCUUUAUCGUGUGAGUGAAUUUCAGUAUAUUUUUUCAGAUAUUGCUUCCAUUUCAUUUAACUGGUCUGCCUUGCCUUUUUCUCAAGAAUUCAUUCUCUCCCUCUCUUUCCCCAGGGGAAAACACACU
ensembl:lncRNA